rnacentral:rRNA from 1 species
AUUGAACGCUGGCGGCAUGCUUUACACAUGCAAGUCGAACGAGUGGCGAACGGGUGAGACAUAUAUCGGAACGUACCGAGUAAGGGGGGAUAACAAAUCGAAAGAUUGUCUAAUACCGCAUAUUAUUCGAGCGGCCGGUCACUGAGUAGCUGGUUGGUGGGGUAAAGGCCUACAAAGGCGACGAACAGUAGCGGGUCUGAGAGGACGAUCCCCCACACUGGGACUGUGACACAGCCCAGACUCCGACGGGGGGCAUCAGUGGGGCGUUUUGGACAAUGGGGGCAACCCUGAUCAAGCCAUGCCGCGUGUAUGAAGAAGGCCGUCGGGGUGUAAAGUACUUUUGUUAGGGAAGCGGUACCUACAGAAUAAUCACCGGCUAACUACGUGCCAGCAGCCGCGGUAAUUC